rnacentral:rRNA from 1 species
UACGUAGGGGGCAAGCGUUGUCCGGAAUUUAUUGGGCGUAAAGGAGCUCGUAGGCGGUUCCGUAAGUCGUUGAAGUCAAAUCUCUGGGACUCCAACCCAGAAUCGGCUUCCGAUACUGCGGUGACUGGAGUCCGGUAGGGGAGUGGUGGAAUUCCUGGUGUAGCGGUGAAAUGACGCAGAUAUCAGGAGGAACACCGAUGGCGAAGGC